rnacentral:lncRNA from 1 species
UAUGUCCUUAAUCAUCUCGUGUAUUCUAUACAUGUAUUGUUCAGCCUAUAAGAGUGGGGAUUAUUUUUGUAGAGAGAUAAAGAGAAAUCGCCAUCGAUACCAGGAUUCAUAGUCGUAGAUGGAAGAAUGAAAGGAAUCAAACACAUGCCACACAACAUUACCAUGAUCGUAGAGGGGAGAUAGCAGAUCGUGGAGAAUGAGUUGCCUUCAGUGUAGCUAGGAACCGUAUAAAACCUGUAAAUAGAGUUGGUCUAAGAAGAGAUUUCAUACGACUUCAGAAAGCAUAUAACGAAUCCGUUUAUUUAUCCUUAAUUUGUGGAUACAGAAUAAUUUUAGGCUAUUUGAAUUUAGAAUGUUUCAUUAGAUAGGAAUUAAAUUGAAUUCUAAUUUAGGAUAAGAUUUAUAUUAAAGACAGUAGAUUGCACCAGUCUAUUGUGUUCCAGACGUUAGACAAAAAAGAAACAACAAUCAACAUAAAAUAUGAACAUUUUAGGGCUCAAAUAGAAAAAACAGAUAUCUGACUAACCUUUGCUAAUUUCUGCAUAGAAGAAGAAGGUAUGACGAUUCUUGUUCCCUCAUAAAGAUGAUUAGCGGUGGAUAGGGUUUUUAGAGAAACAAAAAUCAAAGAUAGCAUAAUAGCUCUUCCAUUGAUAACGUUUCUACUUUCUACCAGGUGAAUCAAAAAGCUGCUAAUCCAGC